rnacentral:rRNA from 1 species
UACGUAGGGUGCGAGCGUUGUCCGGAUUUAUUGGGCGUAAAGAGCUCGUAGGCGGUUUGUCGCGUCGGCCGUGAAAUCUCCACGCUUAACGUGGAGCGUGCGGUCGAUACGGGCAGACUUGAGUUCGGUAGGGGAGACUGGAAUUCCUGGUGUAGCGGUGAAAUGCGCAGAUAUCAGGAGGAACACCCGUGGCGAAAGCGGCGCGCUGGACCACUACUGAUGCUGAGGAACGAAAGCUAGGGGAGCAAACAGG